GGGCCUCUGAAGAGCACCGGCAGCUUCCUUCUUAGCAGAGGAGAAAAUCUCUGCCAUCUCGUGCUCGCCUACCUCGACUCGCCAGACGCCCUGGAGCAGAGGAGGAGCAGUGGUCGGCAGCGGCCAGCCGUGCAGGUGCCACACCUGAUGGUCCACCUGGGAGAACCAGGCAGGAAGCCGGAAAG
rnacentral:misc_RNA from 1 species